UCUCAGAAUUUUCAGACUACCCCAGUCUUCAUCUCUGUGUGGUCCGCAGUCAAAGUGUAAGAGAGUAAAUCCCAAACCUUUCUAGCAGCCUUGUGUGUCACAGUCUGCUUCAGUGUGUUCAGUGUGAGGGAGACUUUGACAGGCAAUUACCCAUUGGGAUUUUUAAGUUGUUUUUUUUUUUUUUUGAAUUUGUGCAUCUAUGUGUGCUUGCAUGAGUUUAUAUGCACCACAUGUGUCCAAGGUUAUAAGGUACCAUGUAACUGCUAGGUACCAAACUCAAGUCCUUAUUGUAAGAAUAAUAAGUAGCCUUACCCUGAAGUUAAGUCUCCAGUCCCUAUCCAUUCAAUUUUGAAGUUUAUUUGUACUGUUCCUUUUAUAAGUAAGCUGACAUGAAUCUUACGAAUAGUUCUCGAUAAGUUAUAAUUUUAUAGUACAUAGGAAUAAUUAUAUUAAAUUAUUGAUUUUUGUGAUAGAAAAACCUUAAGGCUUUUUUUAUUUGUGGGCUUUAUUCUUUGUCUUCUUCUAGAUAAGGUCUUAUGUAUUCUAGUCUGGCCUCCAACUAAAUGGAUAAUGACUGAUUUUUCUGCCUUCAUUGAGAAUGCUGAGAGUAUUUGUGUGUAUCCACAUACCCCUUUUUAUACCAUUUGUGUAUAUCCACACACCCCUUUUUUAUACCAUUUGUGUAUAUCCACACACCCCUUUUUUAUACCAUUUGUGUAUAUCCACACACCCCUUUUUAUACCAUUGGGAAUCAUGCUCAGGGCCUCAUGUGGGCUAGGCAAACAGUUAACCAACUGAGCUACAGCCCUGGCCUUACUUCAUUUAUAUUAAAGUCUUUACAUCCAAACAGGCCUUCUUUCACUUAAAAAGACGAUACAGUGUAUUCUCCCAGGUAGUGUAUAAGUACGCUGCGUUUAUGUUGAACAUCUAUAAGUUUUUUUGUGGACCAAAGUUAAGUUUAUAAGUAAUAGUAAUAACAAAGAGCUUCUAAUGAGCCAGACUCAAAGAACUUUACAAGUAUCUCACUGGAACAGAACUUGAAAAUAUGUGUGUUGUUGUUGUUGUUGUUGUUGUUGGCCGUCAUUGAUUUCCUUUUAUACAGUUUCCUUUCAAGCACUUGUAGUUGUGGGCAACCACUUUUAGUGUCCAUUUAUUCAUAUGUCUGAUAUGUUGGGGGCUUCUGUGCUAUGAAAUCUGAGGGAGUUAUUAUUUUGGAAUUUGUAAUUUAAACCACACGAAUACUAUGGUUCUAUAAACCACUGAGUUACAUCUGUGAUUAAAUAUUUUAUAUAAAUAAACUCCUAACAAGUUUAUAAUGAGGCUUUGGAUGUCUUGGCUAUCUCAUGUGGGUGAAUAAACAAACAGGUGUAAACAUUUGUAAAUAAUCUACUUUAAAUAAGUUUUAUUCUGUGGCAUCCUUAACAUGCAGGCCCUUUUGAGAUUACUGUGAGAAGGAUGGGCACACUGUGCUCUUAGCUACACCUGCAUAUCACUGUGCAAGACUGUAUGUAUUAAGUUAGUGGAGUAAGGGCAGAUAGACUUUCUGAGAGUAGUCUACAAUUAAUAGUGCACAGGGUGAGCAUCAACUAAUGUGAAAAUCUGAAAUGCUCUUAAAUCUGAAGUGUCUGGCACCAGUUAUUUUACAUAAGGGUAGUUGGUAUUUGAAUAUUUUGGUCUUAUUUAACUACAGAUAUUAGAAACUCAUGGAAUAUUGAUAAUUCUUGCUUAUUUCAUAUGUCUAUGUUUUAUAACUAGUCCUAAUAUUUUAAUUUAAAAUUAAAAGUGUUUAUUAGUUAAGUUUUUCUAUAGGUUUUUUUGACAGAUUUACACAUUUUAAAUAUAUUUGGGGAUUUAAAAAUAAGGUUUAGAGUGGCUAGUAGGGAUGGAUAUACAUACAUACAUACAUACAUACAUACAUACUUUUAUUCCCAAGAAAAUUGAGUACAGAUGCCUCUUAACUUGAAAUGUGCUUAUGUCCUACUAAACUAGAAAUUGAAAACAUUGUCAAUUGAAAUCCACCUAACUUGCCAGAUGUCAGCUCAGCAGCACAAGCAUGCUGCAGAGUCUAGGUUGUUUAUCUGAUGAUACCAGACUGCCUGAGAGCUUUAACUUUGCCCCUGCCAACAUCCUGGCAGAAUACUGCACUGCAUAUUAUAGCCCCAGAAAAUGCCGCAAUUCAAAGCAUAUUUUCUACUGAAUGCAUAUGCUUUUGUGUUAUUGCACAAUUAAAAAUUGUAAGUCAAACCAACAGAGGAAUAUCAGUAAACAGCAGUGGAAAUUUAUACAGUGUUAUUGUCAUUAGAUUUCUCUUUGUAAGAAAUUUCAUGACUUAAUUUCUUUGAAAUGAUGAGUCAAUAUUACAUUUAAAAACAUAUUUUAUUUAAAAUGUUUAUAUACUGCUUUUUAAAAAUAUAUUUUUUACACAAAUGAGUUUUAAUAUUUUGUCUUCUAUUCUUUAAAAGUGUUGAUGAGUUUAUUCAUAUCAACAUCAAGAAUAUUUAAUUAUAUUGGUAAGAUAUUUUUAUUCCAUUGGAUAGAUGCAUCUUAUUUUUUUAAUGUCUUAUUUAUUCAUGUUAUGUAGACUUAUAUGCAUAAACUCGAGGACAUUGAAAUUGUGGCUAUUGCUGGGAAUAUUUACAAAAUUUCCUUCCAGGUUUAAAUCAGUAUCUGGCCACUCUGUUUAAUUCUAAGUGGUAAACUUUUUCAAACUAUACUUCUUUUUUAAAAAAAUUAUUUUAUUUAUUUACAUUUCAAAUGUCCCCCUUGCCGGUUUCUCCUCUGCAAACUCUCCUCCCCUCCCCAUUGCCUCUAAGAAAGUGCUCCACUCACCCACACAUCCAUACCUGCCUCACCACCCUAGCAUCCCCCUUUGAUGGGGCAACAAGCCUCCACAGGACCAAGCACCUCCCCUCCCACUGAUGCCAGAUAGCAUAGUCCUCUGCUACAUAUGUAACUGGAGCCAUGGACCCACUUAUGAAUACUCUCUGGUUGGGGAUUUAGAUCCUGGGAGCUCUGUGGGGUCUGGUCAGUUGAUAUUGUUGUUCUUCCUAUGGGGUUGCAGUCCCCUUCAGCUUUCUUCAGUCCUUCCCCUAACUCAUCCAUUGGGGUUCCCGGGCUCAGUCCAAUGAUUGGCCUUGAGUAUCUGCAUUUGUCUUAGCUCAGAAUACCUACGAUACAACUCACAGACCAUAAUAAGCUUAAUAAGCUUAAUGAAGGCCAAAGUGUGGAUGCUUCAUUCCCACUUAGAAGGGGGAACAAAAUCAUGGGAGGCAGAAGAAGGGAGGGACCUUUGCUUUCUAGUUUACUGAAUCCAAUGAAGCUCUGAAACAGUUUACCAUACAUUAGUUUUAUGCAUCUCAUUAUAAUGUAUAGCAUUAGUACCUAUGAUCGCUUUCCUUAUUGGUUAUCAGAGAAUUAAGAUCAUCACAGUAAGAGUAGUGGGCAACGUUUAUUUAAUGUUUACAGUCUGAUAACUUACUGUGUGCAUGUGGUAUAUGCAUGUGUGCAUGGUUGUGUGAGGAGCCAGAGGUCAAUAUGGAUGACUGCCUCUGUUAUUGUAAACCUGCUUUUUGAGACAAGGUCUCUUCACUGAAGCUGAAAUUUAGUGAUAGGGUCAGGGUGGCUGGAAUUCAUCUAUCUCCAUAUUUCUGCCACCCCCCUCCACUGGAGUUACAGAUAUGUACCACUGUACUUGCUGUUUUGCAUUGGUCAUGGGGAUGCAAACCCACUUCUUCAUGUUGGCUGGUUGGCACUGAGCUAUUUCUUGAGCUCUCUGGUCUGAUAGAUUCAUUAUUUCACUUGUAUUAUCUUAGAGUUUUUAUUAUUUUCCCUAAUAUACAACUGAGGAUAUUGAGGCACUGUGAUUAAUGGAAUAAGAUGAUGAUAACUUAAAUUCUAAACUGUAUGUUUGUGUUUGCAUACAUGUUUGUGGGUGCACAUGAGGAUACCAGAGGUUGACAUUGGAUGUCUUCCUUGAUCAUUGUUUGUUUUAUUUACAGAGGCAAGGUUUCUCACUGAACCUGGAACUUACCAAGUCUAGCUAACCAGCUUGCUAUGCAGGUUCCCUAACUCUCCCUUCCCAGCACAAAGAUUAUAGACUGGGAUUAUAACCAGCCCACCUUUUAAUGGGAUUCCUGGAGAUAUGAACUACUAUAUUUACACAGCAAGCAGUUUGCCCAGACCUGUCUCCUCAGCCAUGAAAUGUCACAUUUUUAGUUUUAAUUUCCUACAUUCAAAACACAAAGCAAACUGGAAUUAAU
rnacentral:lncRNA from 1 species